rnacentral:rRNA from 1 species
GCAAGUCGCACGUGAAAGUCUUCGGACGAGUAAAGUGGCGGACGGGCGAGUAACACGUAAUCAAGCUACCCUCGAGACGGGGAUAACUUCGGGAAACCGAAGCUAAUACCGGAUGGUCUCAGAGCAUCGCAUGGUGCAUUGAGUAAAUGGUGGGGAUCCUUCGGGACCUGCUGCUCGGGGAGGUGAUUGCGACCCAUCAGCUAGUUGGCGGGGUAACAGCCCACCAAGGCAACGACGGGUAGCCGGCCUAAGAGGGUGGUC